rnacentral:lncRNA from 1 species
UGGCUCUGGUUGUGGUAGGGCUCUCGAUCGAUCUUUCCUACCUUCAGGCCAGCGUCGGAUGAAUAUGUUGAGCCAACCUCGUCUGAUGAGCUCCUCGAUCUUAUCUCGAAGCUGAAUAUACUCCUCUGUGUCAUGGCCAUGAUCAUGAUGAUAGAGGCAGAACUUGUUAGGGUUGCACUUCUCGGGAUGUCUGUGCAUCCUUUCCGGCCUUGGCAGUUG